AUUGCACGCUGGCGGCAGGCUUAACACAUGCAAGUCGAGCGAGCGGAGGACGGGUGAGUAAUGUCUGGGAAACUGCCUGAUGGAGGGGGAUAACUCCUGGAAACGGUAGCUAAUACCGCAUCCCCUCGGCUGUUCCCCGAUGUGAGUAGCUAGUAGGUGGGGUAAAGGCUCACCUAGGAGACGAUCCCUAGCUGGUCUGAGAGGAUGACCAGCCAAACGGGAACGGAGACCCGGUCCAGACUCCUACGGGAGGCAGCAGUGGGGAAUAUUGCACAAUGGGCGCAAGCCUGAUGCAGCCAUGCCGCGUGUAUGAAGAAGGCCUUCGGGUUGUAAAGUACUUUCAGCGGGGAGGCGUUACCCGCAGAAGAAGCACCGGCUAACUCCGUGCCAGCAGCCGCGGUAAUAC
rnacentral:rRNA from 1 species